UACGAAGGGGGCUAGCGUUGCUCGGAAUCACUGGGCGUAAAGCGCACGUAGGCGGAUUGUUAAGUCAGGGGUGAAAUCCUGGAGCUCAACUCCAGAACUGCCUUUGAUACUGGCGAUCUUGAGUUCGGGAGAGGUGAGUGGAACUGCGAGUGUAGAGGUGAAAUUCGUAGAUAUUCGCAAGAACACCAGUGGCGAAGGCGGCUCACUGGCCCGAUACUGACGCUGAGGUGCGAAAGCGUGGGAGCAAACAGG
rnacentral:rRNA from 1 species